UAGGGAAUUUUGGACAAUGGGCGAAAGCCUGAUCCAGCAACGCCGCGUGCGCGAUGACGGCCUUCGGGUUGUAAAGCGCUUUUAAGAGAGAUGAGAAAGGACAGUAUCUCUAGAAUAAGCCUCGGCGAACUACGUGCCAGCAGCCGCGGUAAAACGUAGGAGGCUAGCGUUAUCCGGAUUUAUUGGGCGUAAAGCGUGUGCAGGCGGUUUGGCAAGUUGGAUGUGAAAGCUCCCGGCUUAACUGGGAGAGGUCGUUCAAACUGCCAGACUAGAGAAUGGAAGAGGGAGGUGGAAUUCCGGGUGUAGUGGUGAAAUGCGUAGAUAUCCGGAGGAACACCAGUGGCGAAAGCGGCCUCCUAGGCCAUUUCUGACGCUAAGACACGAAAGCUAGGGUAGCAAACGG
rnacentral:rRNA from 1 species